GAUGAACGCUAGCGGCAGGCUUAAUACAUGCAAGUCGUGGGGCAGCGCAGUGUAGCAAUACAUGGGCGGCGACCGGCAAACGGGUGCGGAACACGUACACAACCUCCCGAUAAGUGGGGAAUAGCCCAGAGAAAUUUGGAUUAAUACCCCGUAACAUAAUGAUGUGGCAUCACAUUAUUAUUAUAGCUACGGCGCUUAUCGAUGGGUGUGCGGCUGAUUAGAUAGUUGGCGGGGUAACGGCCCACCAAGUCUACGAUCAGUAGCUGGUGUGAGAGCAUGAUCAGCCACACGGGCACUGAGACACGGGCCCGACUCCUACGGGAGGCAGCAGUAAGGAAUAUUGGUCAAUGGACGCAAGUCUGAACCAGCCAUGCCGCGUGAAGGAUUAAGGUCCUCUGGAUUGUAAACUUCUUUUAUCUGGGACGAAAAAAGGCGAUUCUUCGUCACUUGACGGUACCAGAUGAAUAAGCACCGGCUAACUCCGUGCCAGCAGCCGCCGUAAGAC
rnacentral:rRNA from 1 species